rnacentral:rRNA from 1 species
AUUGAACGCUGGCGGCAUGCUUUACACAUGCAAGUCGAACGGCAGCGCGGGCUUCGGCCUGGCGGCGAGUGGCGAACGGGUGAGUAAUGCAUCGGAACGUGCCCUGUAGUGGGGGAUAGCCCGGCGAAAGCCGGAUUAAUACCGCAUACGACCUGAGGGUGAAAGCGGGGGACCGAAAGGCCUCGCGCUAUUGGAGCGGCCGAUGUCGGAUUAGCUAGUUGGUGGGGUAAAGGCUUACCAAGGCGACGAUCCGUAGCUGGUCUGAGAGGACGACCAGCCACACUGGGACUGAGACACGGCCCAGACUCCUACGGGAGGCAGCAGUGGGGAAUUUUGGACAAUGGGGGCAACCCUGAUCCAGCCAUGCCGCGUGCGGGAAGAAGGCCUUCGGGUUGUAAACCGCUUUUGUUCGGGAAGAAAUCCUCUGGGCUAAUACCCCGGGGGGAUGACGGUACCGGAAGAAUAAGCACCGGCUAACUACGUG